rnacentral:lncRNA from 1 species
UAAUUUUAAACAACUUAACAGCCACAGAAGGAUUCCCUCUCUUGCAGAUGCCGUCAAUGAUAGUUGUAUAGGUAACAACAUUGGGUUGAAUAAGUUUAAAUCUAAUGAGGUUCUGGAACAAAAGCUGAGCCUCAUGAGGCAUAUCUUGGGAAAUAAGGCCCCUGAUGAGAGUGGUAUAAGUAAACACAUCAGGGACAAAACCAUGCUUGAUGAUUCCAGCCAAUAGUGAAAAGGCAAAAUCAACACGAUUCAAGUGACAAAAGCAGUUAAUGAGAGUAUUGAAGGUAAUUACAUUAACAGGGAUGCUUUCUACACGCAUCUUUCUAAAAAGGGAGACAGCUACGGAGUACUCUUUCAUCUUAAUCACAGCGGCUAAGAGUUGAUUAAAUUUAAGAACGGGAAGCAGAGGCUUCAUAAGGAGCAUUUUAUCAAACACUUGGAGACCAUCAUCGAGUUUAUCGAAACCAACCUUGGACUUCUCAAGGAGUAGAUGUUGAAGUCGAGCAUGAGUUGGAUGAGAUGAAUAAGGGAAAUUAUUAGGGUUUGAUUUAGUGGAGAAGCGACAAAGCGAAUACAAAUCAAAGCAACUAGUGAAAUUACCAGAAGAAUGUGCAAGUAGUAACUGAGAUUUCAAUGGACACAAGGCCCUCAUCAGUCUCUUCAUCAUCAUCUUUGAAUUUCUCUACUUCACUGUCCGCUCUGUAUCUACAAACUCUGAUCUUGUUGUAAUGUUGCUUAUUUUCUGUUGCGGGUGUAUUCAUUCGAUUGACAUAAAAUAGAUUGUUUUUUGAUUUAUGAAUAUAUGGAUUUUAAUGGAGUUAUUUUUGAUUUUAUGCGGAUUUUGAUAAAAUGUAACAUAGUUUAUAUACUCUUUCUGUUUACGUAUUUUUAAGUGCUUUGACCCUAUAAAAAAAUGAUUAUUUUCAAAAAAAUUCUUUUUUGAAUAAAAAUAUAUGAUUGAUAUUAUUAUUUGGAAAAAGAAAAUUUCAAAAACAAUAAUUUUAAGCCUGCGGUCAAAAGACUUAAAAAUACGUGCAAAAAAGUCAAACGACCUGUAUUUCAAAACGGAUGGAGUAGAUUUUUGUAGAUUUAAGCACAAUACUUCAAAAUCUCAUGAAUUUUGAUGGGAUUUCAAAAAAAUUAAAAUACAUUAAAUAAUUUCAUAAAAUUCAUCAUUUUAUGAAAUCUAUUGCCAUUUGAAUAAUAUCAGAUUCUUUAGGACAUUUUUCUCGAUUAAUAAAGGUGCAGGAGUGCUCGAUGGCCAUCAGAUAAGAUUAGUUAGAGUACCUUGUAUUGCAACCAUAGAGUGGCAUAGCUGUGGUACAUCUCAUUUGGUUUACAAUUUUGCUUGGAAUUUAGAAUCUAACUAGCCCAUACUAAAAUUUCAUAUGAAUUUUCAUGAUACAUAUAAGUGUUUAUUUUAUAAUUUUUUUUCCCAUGUAUCUGGGGAAGUGAAAUUUAUGAUGCAAUGUUGAACCAGACAAUGGGGCCGUUUGGGUGAGAUUAAAAUAAGUGCUUAUUGCUUAAAAUAAAUAAGUGGAGUAGAAGUUAGAAACAAGAUAAGACUCAUAAGUGAUUAAAGUGUUUGGGAAAUAAGUAGAAGUCCUGAAACAAAAGCUAGCAUUCCUAGCUUUUUAUAAUUGCUUCUUGACUUAUUACACAAACGAUACGAAUAAGUGCUCAUAACUUAUAAUUCAGAAACUGGACUUAUAAGUCCCAAACAAACACCCACAAUGUUUGAUGUUAUUCAACUUCUAGGUCACUCCCUUCUUCUAUACUUCUACCUUUAGUUUUUCCUGAGAAUAUUCUUUUAUAAUUUAGGAUGAUAAUUAAGUCACUUAUGGAGAAUUUGAGAAAGUAGGGUUAUUUUUUUGGGACAAUAAUUUGACAAGCUUAAUAGGAAAAUACUGGACUUUCACCGGAUUGGAAAUGAAAAAAAUGGUCCCAAAUCUCAAAUAUUCUUGAAUUAAUGCCCAAAAUAACAGAGUUGGGAAAAAUAGCCCCAAAUACCAGUUAGAGACGCUGGUAAUCUAGCGUUUUCAAUUUCGUGUAGCGUUUUGCCAACACCCGGGAAUGAACGACAUUCUUGAUUUUAAAAAUCCGUUCCCAAGACAUCAAAUGAUAUAGUAGUUUGUUUUAUCGGCAAAUCCAACAGUGGCCUAAAAGUUCAAAUUUGGACCGGUUUUGGUCUAAAUCCUCCCAACAGUGGCCUAAAUCUUGGUACAAAUUUAGGCCGGUGAACAGUACUGAUGUGAAUCAAUUUAAACCCUUUUUUUGCCGAUAAUAAUAUAGAAUAAGAAAAAGUAUCGUUCUACGCCAGGAAUCAAGGGCUCACUUAACUUAUAUUUUGCAAAGAAAAAACGAUUGGAUUUUGUUUUAUCUAUUAAUUAAACUAAUUAUUAAACUAAAGCAAAUGUGUUUUUAACAAUCAAAGAAGCAUGUUGAAAAGCAUGAUGAUACACCACUAAACCCAUGACAUAGUCUGAAACUCUUAUGAUAUGUUCUGAAAGACACUUAUAGAGAACUUGCCAUGGCCCACAUUAAAACAAGCUCUGCUAUCCGCAUAACCCCAUGAACCACAUAGAAAGGCUAAAACAGAUUACACACUGAUACAAUUAAUCUCAUGGACCACAUAGAAAGAUUAAUUGACUUUACAGAUAUAUCAAUCAUAUAACUGAAUUGGAUGUCCACAUACCACAGUUAAUUCAAGAAUAUCUAUAACCAUUAACGUAUAUAUAAGCACAAUCGAGAACAUAUCUCGGAAAAUCAAAAUAUCAUUGUCAUAAAGUUUAGGGCUUCAAAACAUAGUAAAACACGUAAGAACCAUAAAAAGAAUAGAAUACGAUACAAAGUGUUGAUCCUUUCGAUUCUUCUCCGUGGCUCUUCUCAAUAGCACGUAUGUAAAACUAAAACUAAUAAUACCUAAUACAAAAGUGUUUUUAUUCUAAUAGGAAUAGACAAGGCAAUUCCGAAACUGAAUAGGUUUCCAAAGUCAAAAUUCGCAGUUGACUUUUUCUCUGUUCCUGGGCUUUUUCAGCAGGCUUUUGAUAUCUGGACCCAUCUAGAAUGAUAAAAAAUUAAAUUAUCUUCGCGUGGGCUAUUGAAUCGCCCAAAUCCGCCUUCUAGAAUUCAAGAUAUGGCCCAAACAAUAUUCCGAAUGCGGGUAGCCCAAUAGUUGCGAAUUUUCUUAUAAUAUGUCCAAAUCCUUUCCAAUUUGGAAUUUCUUGCUCCCUACAAUGAGAUAUUAAAAUAAAUUAAUAUAUGUCUAAUUAAAUGCAAAAUAUAACUAAUAUGACAAUAAUUAUCAUCUAAAAUAUAUAUAAAUAUAUACUCUAUCAAGUACCGGCCUAAAUUUAGGCCGGCACUAUUCACCGGCCUAAAUCUUUUUAAUAAUAUAAUAAUAAAAUUUUAUCUUUUGUAUAUUUAGUUAAUUAAAUGAUUUUAUGUUAAUAUAAUUAUUAAAUAUUUAUAACUAUAUAUUUAAUAUAUUUUACUUAAAUAAUCAUAUAUAUAUAUAUUAAUAAUGAAAUAUAAUAAAAUUAAAUAAUCUUAAAAUAAUUCAAGUUAACAACACAUUGAAAUGCUCGAUUUCAACAAUUUCAUGGACGACAUUGAAAAAUAAAAAAUAAAAAAUAAAAAAGCUCAUAUUGCACUUCGAGAUGUAUUAAUUGGCAUUUGUGGAAACAGUAUAUUAAUUCGGAGUAGUAUUGAAUCUUUGUAAAUUUUAUUUAGUUAAUUAAAUAAAAUGUUAAUUUUUAUUUUAUUUUCUUUGUUUAAAUGUAGUAUUUUCCUAAUUUAAUGAAUUUAUUGAGUUUAAUAUUAAUAUGAAAUCUUAUAUUAUUGUUAAAAAGAUUAGAAUAAUAAUAUAAAAAGGGAAUUGAUAAAUAAACUCCACAUUUUACUCUUUAAGCUCCAAUUUCAUAUUUUAUACCACAUUUACCCAUGAUUUCUACACAUGUUUCAUGCAUAUUAUAGGUGAUUAUGUUAUUUGGGUAAAAGAAAAAUUGAAAUGGAGUUUAAAUAGUAAAAUUUGGAGCUUAUUUAUCAAUUCCCUAUAAAAAUUAGAGGAAUAAAAUAUUGUUAUAUGAAUUUGAACUAAAAUUUAGGCCAAACUGUUAGAAUGGAAAGAUAGCUCGGUCUAAAUUUGGAUUAAGAUUUAGGACAAAAACGGGUUCCAUCUUGAAGAUGGCCUUAGAAGUUAAAACAAUGAAACUUCCCAACUUUAACCAAUGAAUUCUUUCUUUAAGGGGUCCUGAACAGAUAUCUUCAGAAGGCUCUAAUAGCAUGAACAUCAGUUACAUUGCAUCCCUAAUCUUUGCAAUUGUUUUACUUGUUGGCUAUAUGAUAUAUGGUGCAACGCUUCACAUUGUAAAGUUGAGAAUGAUUUUCACCACAUGCAGAAACUAAAAACGCGACCAGAAGCCGCUGAUGUUGCCAGAUCCCAUGUUGGAUAUACUAUCAAUUAAUUUUGUCGAACUCUAUAUAACACAAGGAUCAUCAAACUAGACUUUCUGAUGUAGUAUCCCAUUAUCAUUAUCUUUAGUAGUUAUUUAUUUUUUAUAUUUUAAGUUGUUGGAUGGAAUGAGGAGAGAGUGAAAUAAAAAAUAAAAAAUAAAUUAUGAAGAGAAAAGAAAAUAUGUGAAUAAAUAUGAGCAAAUCUAAAUUUUUUGUGAGGAAGAUCGUAAAAAAAUAUGUGGAGUGGAAUCAUCAAUAUUCCUUCUAAAAUAUGUGGGUUAGAUUUUUAGUGUAGAUAGUUGGAAUUGAAUGAUAGGAGUAUCUCCAACGGCAUUGGCUAUAAUCAGUGUUGUGAAAAGCGCAAAUCGGUUCUAGGCGGUAGGAGGACCUUCUAGCGUUUAAGCGGUAAGGCGGACGCUUAAGCGGAAUUUUAAGCGGGUCAAUAAGCGGAUUAAUUAAAUAUAAUUUAAAUAUCUAGUUAUAAUAUUAAUAUAUUUAAAAAUAAUAUUAUGUUGUCUGAAGAAUAUGCAUUUUUAAUAUUUUUGAUAAAAUAUAUUUUUUUAGUUUUAUAAUAUAAUUAUAGUUAUAUUAUUAAAAAUAAAUAUUUCAAAAUUAAUUUUUUUUAAAAAUUAGCAAGUCAACAUCAUUUUGACUGCUUAAUUACCGCUUAACGACCGCUUAAUCCGCUUAAUUGUCCACUUAAUUUUCAAAAACGCUUAAUCUCCCGCUUAGUACAAAAUCGAAGCGCUUUAGGGCCGAUUCCGCUUAGGCGGCCGCUUAAUCGGCCGCUUAAUGCGCUUUUUAUAACACUGGCUAUAAUUGUUGGCUAAAUUGGAUCGGUAAGAAAUUAGGUAAAAUUUGCUAAAUCUGUAAGACAUUUUGCUUCAAUGGUAUUGGCUAUAUUGGUUGGUUAUAAUUUAAAAAUAGUAUGUUAUUAAUAUUUUAAAUUGUUAAAAUAGAAUAUAUCAGUUCAAUAUGGUAAUAAAUGAUGUACAAUCUUGCUACAGAUUUUCUUACAGACCUGUAGAGGUUCGACAAAUUUAGCCAUCCACGGCUAAAUUUAUAGCUGAGCAUGGUUGGAGUUGAGUUUUUGGAGCUAUUGGCUAAAUUUUUUUAUUUUAAAUAUGCCAACUCACCUUUUAGCCAAGGGUUUUAGAUGGUUGGGGAUGCUCUAAGAGGAAUGAAAAUUUUCUUUUGUACAUUUUUUCUCACUCCUAAUUUCGAAUACAAAUUUCAUUCCAUUCACCCUUCAUUCCAUUUUAUCCAAAUGAACGCAGCACUAAAGUUGCCUUGCAUUCACUUAAAUAAAAUGAAAUUUAAACUCUAAAUUGAGGGUAAUUACAGAAAGUGUCUAUAAUUUUCAUUCACCAAUCAUUCCAAUCUAAAUAAUUUGAACAAGAAAACUAAUACACAUGUCAUGACGAAAAAUUAUGACAAUCUUUAACGACAAAAAACUAACAUAUGUCACUAAACUAAGCUAUAAAUCUUUUAAAAACACGAAUUACAAAACAAAUUUUAAGACAGUUAAGAAAUUUGUCUCCCAUUUACAUAAUUAAACUGGUGUUUUCUGGUAAAACAUAAAAGAAUGAAAGUAUAGAACUUAAAGGUUUACAGAAGUAAAACUAUUGAAACCUUACAACAAUGCAGGAAAUAUCAUCGUCGCUUUUUCUUGGUACGAGCCUCCUCGGCAUAUGCUUUGCAGCCACCUUUGAGUAGGGCUGUAAUUCGAGUCAAGUCGGGCGAGUUUCGAGCCGAGCCUAAUUCGAGCCAAGUUUAAUCGAGUCGAGCCGAGCCAGCUCGGUUAACUAAUCGAGCCUAAAUCUUUGCCCGAACUCGACUCGGUUAAUUUCACGAGUCGAGUCGAGCCGGCUCGUUUAGCUAAACGAGCCGGUUUUAACGAGCCGAGCGGCUGGGGGCGGAGCCGGCUCGUUUAAUUAAGCGAGCCAAAACCUUUGCCCGAACUCGGCUCGUUUAACGAGUCGAGCCGAGCCCACUUAAACGAGUUCGAGCCGGGCGAGCUCGCGAGCCGCCCGACUCGAAUUACAGCUCUACCUUUGAGUACUUCCUUAUAUUUUUUAUCGAAUCAACUACUUCCUGAUUAGACAUCACCUGUCAGUACACUAGGAAAAUACCCUUAUAUCCACAUCUUAGUUCACUAUUUUCACAUUAAUUUCCCUUUUACAGAUGAAAAAGGUUAGUGCAUUGUUCACUGUAACGUAAAUGAACUGGGUGGAAUAUGAAUUGAGUUGGCUCCCUUCCACAAAUUCUUGGCCUCCGGGCUUAAAUAGAUUUGAGUGAGGCACAUGAUCGGAACCUGAUGACUGCUGCACUUCCCUAGCUUCAUCAAAAUCGUGCUGUUGGUUUCUAAACCAGAGCCACCUUCUGUGCAAUUUCAGCACUUCAAUUAUAAAAUAUCCCCACACAUUGCUCCUCCAAAUCCAGCAAAUGCAGCAAGAAAUAUUGACAGGACCACAUGGACUCGGAGCUGCACAUCCCCACACAGAUGAUCAAUAUAUGCAUUCCAACUUGAUUACUAUAUCACCCAUUAUGUCUUCUGUGCAUAAUUCUAGCUUCAAUCUCUAAAUUACAAUUAACCUUCUUAAUACAGCUCCAUGUUAUAGACUUGUACUCACUGUUCACCCAAUCAACCUUGUCACCUACAGAUUCAAUAACCUCCUUCCUAACUGGAUCCUUAAGAGCUUCAAACUCCUGCACAUAAUCAUAAUCUUAAUCCGAAUCUUGAGAAAAUUAUAAAAAAAAAAAGUAAUAAAUUUCAGCAAAAAUCAGUUGCAACUUGUCUUGAUCAUACAACAAUAUGCAUUAUCAAGAAGCCUUUCCGAAAGAUAAUCAUGUGGUGUGAACAUGAAAUAACUUUUACUCAUGAACUGCUACAUGCUAUAGUAACAAAAUGGCUUAAUACGAACAAAACUCAGGUGACAAGAAGGUAGAAACAAGACCGAAAUGUUAGUCAGAGGUUCAGUAACUUCAGCACCAAUAGCUGUGUAAUUAAAUAAUUGUGUAUGUUAUCUUUGUGGCUGAAUAGUAUGGCAGGUAAACGUUCAAUGUUCAUCAAUCAUCCACCAGGUAUCAGCGAUUGAGGGGAACUGAGCAAAUGGCAACAAAUCAGAAAGUGUAAUCCCUAUUUAUGAGCCCAAUGUUGUUUUUUGUAAAGGCUUUGAGGACUUAUAUUCUUACAUCAUAUUUAUUUCCUAACCAUCUUCGAACUUUAUCCAGGAGUACAGGUUAUCUACAUUUCUUCCGUAGCAAACACUAUUAAACUCACUUUUUAAGUGUACUCUUUAUGUGUGGGUGGGAUUGUGGAUGGCUGAGUUGCAAUUACGAUGUGUACAAGAUUACAAGUACAGAUGAAAAUUUAAGUUUGCUAUCUUUAAUGGGAAUAAAUCCAAGUUCGAAAUUCACUUAAGGUCGCAAAUUUUAAGCUACUUUCCAUAUAAAAUUUUAAAAAAGUAAAAACUAUUUGAAUAAGCCUCAGACAAUUAACAAAUUGUCAUAUGAUGUAAAUGCAAGUAGUUUAUGUGAAUGUUAGAUUAAGAUAACCUGAUAGACAUUAAGAAGAAGAUACUCACUUUGCCCUUACAGAUAAAAUAAGGUUAACAAAUACAAUCUUGAAGAUUGAUACAUACCUUCUCAACAGUUUCAUCAUUCGAUCUUUCUAACCUCCAUGUGCGACUCUUCGAAAGACCCGGCACUAAUACCAAGCCAUCAUCAAAAACCAAAAGAAGCCAUCAUUUGUAUUAUUAUCAUUCAUUCAUCUCUAUUAGGAGACACGACCUAAAUGUCAAUUAUAAGGAAAAUAUUAUCAGGAUUUUAGUCAAAGUCAAGGACUCAAGGCUAAUAAUUUGUGAUACUCUGGGAGCUAUUAAAAUCACUACUGGUGUCAUUGUCAGCCACCCCUGCAGCUACAAUAACAAAUAGGAUUUUUACUAAGAUAGUAACAUUAGAAAGAUUGCCAAAAGUGCAGAAUUUUGGAGCACUAUGCUAUCAAUUAUCAUUGCCUAAAUGUAUGGUAACACAUCACAUAAUGCAGUGCAGUAUGUGAUUUUACGAUGACCCCCUACUAUAGUAAACUAACAAAACAUGAUAGAUUCAUAGGGCAGCAACAAUUUUCUUUGAGUUCAAAUAUAAAGAUAGACAAAAAAAUGUUUGGAUAAGCUUUGCAUAAUUAACAAAACAUUAGAUGAUGUAACAAGCAGUUGGUAUGUGUUAAAAUAAAAAUAAUAUAGGAAGAUAUACAUUUGGAAACAUAUACUUGCCUGUCAUUGAUUAGUUGCGAUUAGAGUGUGGAGAAGGUUACAAAUGAAAAUUCUAAUUUGCUACCCUUUUUUUUUUAUAGAAUUUCACAAUAUAAAAGUAUUUAUAGUCACCGAUGGUAAAUAAUUUACAAUGUUAAUUGAUACACAAUGAAAGGCUAUCCUAAUAAACAUUGCACAACUGUGAACUGGAAAAUAAAUAUAUAUAUAGGGGUGGGUUCUGGUACAAACUUACAAACUUACAAACUUUCUGCGUUCAACACAUAUAUAAUUUGAGUUCAACAUUUUUUUAACAUAUUUUGUUGAACAUCGAUUAAAAUUGUGUCGGAGAAGUACAUAAACUAAUUUUUUAAUGUAAGAACUAAGUUAAACGUAUUAUACAACUAUUAUUUAUAUUUCUAAACCCCACCCAAACCCCAGAGGUAUAGUUUAAGUAUCUUUAUAGAUAUAUUCAACAUGAUGAUAAUUAGUGUUCUACACCCGAUGUUGAACCCCAGUUACAAAUGUGUUGAAUGCGCAAUUUAUUUAUGCGUUAUUUUUAAAAAUUGUGAUGUUUUUUCAAGAAUUUUCAAUAUGAAUACUUGUAUACAAGGAUCAGAGGAUGCGAGAAUAAAAUAAAAUGUUACAAGUUCAAAAUAGAAACUUUUUAAGUGGUUACAUUUCAUAAAGGUAACACAUACAAUUUGAAAAUUGAUGCCUACCUAGAAGAUGUAAUAUGCCUCGACAAUUAAGAUCGUCCAGCAGAGCACAAUGUUGCCUUUAACAAUAUUAUCAUCUACCAAUAACUGCUACGAUUAUAUUUUGAGCAAACAUAAAAAUCAAACUAUAACACAAGCAUACAGUGAUACGUUUAUCAAGAAAACAACUUACUGAUUUUCUUAAAAAAGCUCCACUAAAUAAACAACAUAAAAAUGCAAUGGCACACCAAAACCCAGGAACCCACAUCACCUCAAAAAUUAGUGAGAUUCCAUCCUUUCUGAAUGUAAAAACAGUGCAUGUAAUUUUGGUCUAAUAACCACAAAGACCGGAUAGCCUGCCUUCCAAUAUAUGCAAAAUACAAUAUAAUACCAAUACGAGGUGAUAUGGACAGCGGAGAGAUGCAUAAUCGUAGUCAGAGAACAGGUACGCAAAAAGCUGAAGUUUAGAAUACGAGCAGGUCAUAUCUACAUGGGAUGUCAGUAUUGAAUAUGGAACAAUAUAUAACUGAGGGCAUGAUUUAAAAUAAAUUAAUGGGCAGAUGUGGCUAGUAAUUAUAUGAUGUGGCAGGCCGAGAUGAUAUAAAGUGGUUUGGUAAAGGUGUAUGUUGCAGCAUUUUAUAUAUAAUAGUCUAAUAGAUGCAUAGUCUCAGCAGAAUUUACCAUGAGACACAAUACCGUUUAUGAGAGUUCUUGCAAGUAACCACACUUGGAAAAAGAUCGCGCUUAAUAAUUCCCCAAGCUAUGAAAACCCACAGUCAACAUCAUUUAAGUGACAAAAGCAGUUGAUGAUGAUACUAAAGGUGAAUAUAUCAACAGGAACUACAAAAACACACAUCUCUCAACAAAGUACUCUUUCAUUUUAACAAGUGCAAGUAAGAUUUUAUUGAAUUCGAUAACCGGAGGCAGAGGCCUCUUCCUAAGCAUUUGACGAAACAAAGAAAGAGGUUCCUCGAACUUAACAUAAUCUAGUUUAGGCUUCAAUAAGACUUAUCUUUCAGAUUAAAUAAAUUAUUAGAUUCAUUUGUGAAAAAUGCAGGCAAAAUCGAAAAGAUUAUGUACCUGGGCACUCUCUUCCUUUCACACACCUAUGGAUCGGAGAGUACUUAUUACGCAAGGCAAGGAGAGGAGGAUCCGGUUCUUGAACUUCAAGUAAGUCCAGUAAUGCAGAUGCUGUAGAUGCAUCUGCUGCAAAGCUGUGACCAAGCAUUUCAUCUAGGAAUACACCUGCUUCAUAGUACUUCUUAUUAUGUAAACAACCACAGAUAAGCAUGUUGUAUGUGACAUCAGUAGGCAAGCAAUCAUUAGCUUCCAUUUCCCUGAAUAGUUCAGUCGCUUCAUUCAAUAACCCUCCAUGAAAAUAUGCUUGGAUCAUCAUUGUGUAUGUCUUGACAUUAGGUCGCAGACCUUUCGCAGGAAGGUUGCUAAAAAGAGUUCUUGCUGCUUCAAGUUGUCCGUUUUUGCUUAAUCCAUCAAUCAGAAUGGUGUAAAUAUAUAUAUCAGGAACUAGCCCACUGCAUUCCAUCAUUUGGAAAAAGGACAGUGCUUCACGAACAUAACCGUUCUUGCAAAGACCGUCCAAUAUAAUAGCGCAAGUCACUUUAUCCAACUGAAGACCUUUGUUCAGCAUCAUCUUUUCCUUAAAAAAUUUACGUGCUUCAACAUGUCUACCCGCACGAAAAAAACCUUGCAGUAUAGUAUUGUAAGUGUCAAUAGUUGGGGUUAAACCUUCAGAGGGCAUUUGUUGAAAAAGGUCUAUGGCUCUGUCCACUUUCAACUUUUUACAAUAACCAUUGAUGAGGAUAUUAUAGCUAAGAGUAUCAGGCAAUAUUCCCUUUCUCGUCAUGCUUUCGAACACUGCUAAUGUUUUAUCAACCUCUCCUCUCAAGCAGUAUCCAUCCAUUAGUGCAUUAUACGUUACUACAUCAGGAUAAUGGCCUCUUUGAAUCAUCAACUCUAUCACAUCCUCUGCAUCUUCAAUCAUUCCUUCUUUGCAAUACGCAUCAACCAAUAUAUUGUAAGUAAAAAGAUUUCGAGAAAUGUUCCUAACAUCCAUCUCGUUGAGCAAUAGUUUGACAUCAUGCCAUUGAUUAAUGUCACAUAGUCCUUGAAUUAAUGAGGUGUAGGUUCUAACAUUUGGAGAUAUGACUUCCCUUGUCAUUUGGUGGAGAAGACCCAAUGCUUGAUCGACUAAUCUAUGUUUACAUAAACAGUCAAUAAGUGUGUUGUAAGUCACAGUAUCAGGCUUGCAACCUCUGUUCUUCAUAUACUUAAACAAUGUAACAGCCACAGAAGGAUUCCCUCUCUUGCAGAUGCCGUUAAUAAUUGUGUUAUAGGUGAAAACAUUGGGUUUAAUAAGUUGAAAUCUGAUGAGGUUCUGGAACAAAAGCUGAGCCUCAUGAGGCAUAUCUUGGGAAAUAAGGCCCCUGAUGAGAGUGGUAUAAGUAACCACACUUGGCACAAAACCGUGCUUGAUGAUUCCAGCCAAUAGUGAAAAGGCAAAAUCGACACGAUUCAAGUGACAAAAGCAGUUAAUAAGAGUAUUAAAAGUAAUUACACAAACAGGGAUGCUUUCUACACGCAUCUUUCUAAAAAGGGAGACGGCUACAGAGUACUCUUUCAUUUUAACAAGGGCAGCUAGUAGUUGAGCGAAGUUGAUAACAGGAAGCAGAGGUUUGAUAAGGAGCAUUUUAUCAAACACUUGGAGAGCAUCAUCGAGUUUAUCGAAACCAACCUUGGACUUCUCAAGGAGUAAAUAUUGAAGACGAGCAUGAGAUGGAUUAGAGGAAUAAGGGAAUUGGGGUUUGGGUUUCAAGGGAAUAUUAGGGUUAGGUUUAGUGGAGAAGUGAGAAACUGCAAUAACAGAAACAAAGGAUGCAAGACAACAAGUAUGAGCUGAAGCUGAAGCUGAAGAAUGUCGUAAGAAUCGAGAAUUUAAAAUCACAAAUUUCUUCAUCAACAUCAUAUCUCUACUUGUCGGGGACUCAAAAAAAUUAGCUGGCUGAGCUGAGCAGAG